GCCAGGCACAGUGGUGUAUGUCUGUAAUCCCAGCAACUUGAGAGGCUGAAACAGAAGGAUCACAAGUUCAAGGCCAGCCUCAGCAACUAAAUUGCUGAGGUGAGGACCUCAGCAAUUUAGUGAGACUCUGUCUCAA
rnacentral:sRNA from 1 species